AGCUUUUUCCUGCAGGGUCGACGAUUCCUACGGGAGGCAGCAGUGGGGAAUAUUGCACAAUGGGCGAAAGCCUGAUGCAGCGACGCCGCGUGAGGGAUGACGGCCUUCGGGUUGUAAACCUCUUUCAGCAGGGACGAAGCGAGAGUGACGGUACCUGCAGAAGAAGCACCGGCCAACUACGUGCCAGCAGCCGCGGUAAUACGUAGGGUGCAAGCGUUGUCCGGAAUUACUGGGCGUAAAGAGCUCGUAGGCGGUUUGUCGCGUCGUCUGUGAAAACUCGAGGCUCAACCUCGAGCUUGCAGGCGAUACGGGCAGACUUGAGUACUGCAGGGGAGACUGGAAUUCCUGGUGUAGCGGUGAAAUGCGCAGAUAUCAGGAGGAACACCGGUGGCGAAGGCGGGUCUCUGGGCAGUAACUGACGCUGAGGAGCGAAAGCGUGGGUAGCGAACAGGAUUAGAUACCCUGGUAGUCCACGCCGUAAACGGUGGGCGCUAGGUGUGGGUUUCCUUCCACGGGAUCCGUGCCGUAGCUAACGCAUUUAGCGCCCCGCCUGGGGAGUACGGCCGCAAGGCUAAAACUCAAAGGAAUUGACGG
rnacentral:rRNA from 2 species